GAUGAAGAACGCAGCGAAAUGCGAUAAGUAAUGUGAAUUGCAGAAUUCAGUGAAUCAUCGAAUCUUUGAACGCACAUUGCGCCCUCUGGUAUUCCGGGGGGCAUGCCUGUUAGAGCGUCAUUAUAACCACUCAAGCUCUCGCUUGGUAUUGGGGUUCGCGGUUUCGCGGCCCCUAAAAUCAGUGGCGGUGCCUGUCGGCUCUACGCGUAGUAAUACUUCUCGCGAUUGAGUUCGAUAGGUCUACUUGCCAGUAACCCCCAAUUUUUACAGGUUGACCUCGGAUCAGGUAGGGAUACCCGCUGAACUUAAGCAUAUCAAUAAGCGGAGGA
rnacentral:misc_RNA from 1 species